rnacentral:RNase_P_RNA from 1 species
GGCAGCCGCUGCCGCUUAGCGGUAGAGGAAAGUCCAUGCUCGCACUGUCUGCGAUGACAGUAGUGUUUGCGUUAGCUGAACAAAUAAGGCUAAGAUGGCCGCGUGCCAGACGGCGGAUGAACACCUAAGGCGAAAGCUAUGGUAGUAGUCUAUAAAAGUGCCACAGUGACGAAGUCUGCUGAGAAAUCAGUAGAGUGGAACGAGGUAAACCCCGCAAGCGAGAAACCCAAAUUUGGUAGGGGAAUCCGGAUGCCCGAACCUGAAGGGAUACGGGACGCGAAAGCGUAGAUAAAUGACUGCCACCCGGUAACGGGGACAGAACAUGGCUUAU